rnacentral:rRNA from 1 species
UACGGGGGGGGCAAGCGUUGUUCGGAAUUACUGGGUGUAAAGGGCUCGUAGGCGGCCAACUAAGUCGGAUGUGAAAUCCCCAGGCUUAACCUGGGAACUGCAUCCGAUACUGGAUGGCUUGAAUCCGGGAGAGGGAUGCAGAAUUCCAGGUGUAGCGGUGAAAUGCGUAGAUAUCUGGAGGAACACCGGUGGCGAAGGCGGCAUCCUGGACCGAUACUGACGCUGAGGAGCGAAAGCCAGGGGAGCAAACGGG